rnacentral:lncRNA from 1 species
AGCAGAUAGAUGGAUGCAUGUGUUCAGGACACUGAUAAUGCAGGAGGUUUUCGUAACAAGACUGGAACUUGGAGAGAACCCUCCUUUGCCCCAUUAUCUUGAAAAAAGCUUUCGGAGCUGGGGCUUAGCCAGCAGCUACCGGCCACUCCCCAUUUUGGCCACUUGCAUCCCCAAAACAACUUUUCCCAUGACUCACACAUAGCAGCUUGUGCACUUCUUUUAUUAUUAAAUAUAUAAGCAGCUUCCUAUUUUUUUAAAUAGAUAUUUAAAUGACUUCAUAUAAAAUAAUUCACCACUUCCAAGUAUAAAAACAAAAAUCUCACAGUGUGUGAGCCAAUGUUCCCUCUCGGCUUUCUCAGAGAAAAGAAGGUUCCUGUGCAGGUAGCUGGGGAGACACCCAGAGGGGGGCUAGGAGCCCUCCCACUCCUGUGCCCCAAGAGCCCUCAAAGAGCUUCUGCGAUGGGUUGGAUUUGCUUUCUUGACUUUCAAAAUACUAUAUGUUUAAGGAGGGGAGUGAGGGAGGAAUGCCUUUUUUCUGUGUUGUUUUUUCCUUCCACGUUUUUAAAUAGAUAUUUUUUUAGUAUCAAAUAUAGAGUCUGUGACUAGCAAAAGGACCCCGACAGGGAAAGUUCUCCAAUGCCCUUGCCUUUGCUGACAGCAACAGGGCAGGGGAGGCAGGGACCAGUGGGCCUUCACUUUCAAGGGCAGGAAGGGCCCUGGUGCAACGGCCAAGUAGGGCAGGGUCUCUCAGUGGAGGGCCCAGGAAGCUGAGGCCCUCAAGGCAGACUUGGAGGCGGGUGCCAGGGCCCUCCGAGUCCCUCUCCCACCCUGGCUUGCCUGGGCAGAGAGACGGUGCUGGUGAGGGGUGGGGCGGGAGCUGGAGGGUGUCGCUGCCUACCGGCCCCCUAACAAGGGACGACCCGCUCAGCCCAGGUGCCUAUCGGCAGCAGUCUUGGAGCCGUGGUUGGGGUUGCAGCAAGAGACUGGGCUGGGGGGGUCAGGGGUGCAGACCUCUGCCCCCAUCUCGGGAGCGGGCCCAUCCUUUCAAAGGCCCACUUGCAGUCAGAGUGCAGCCUGUAGCCUCUCUGUGUGUGUCCCUGCUCUCCUUUUCUCCCCCUCCCACUAGUCACUUCCCUCUCGGGAAUGUCAAAGUGCAAGAUGCAGAAACCUGGGCGGACAACGCAGCCUAAAGACCGGCUCCGGCUGGCGGCCCGGGCGGUGCUCCCACCCCGAUGCUCUCUGGGACGGAUGGGGCAGGCUGCUAAGCAGGCAGGUUCAGU